UAUUCUCAAUUCUUCUCGUUUCUGACGAGCAUGAAUUGGAUGUGGAGGUUUUUGCCGGUGUUGACAUCGGCUCCUCUGAAAUGCAUUAGCGUGAAUGUUUACCAAACGUUCCUCAGUGUGAUAAUUGUCUACGCUGUGGUAGUGAGGUUUCAUGAAGUUCAUGCUUCUAAUCGUCCUGCAUAGGACAACUACUUUUGAC
rnacentral:misc_RNA from 1 species